GGAAAAAAGGGCUUGUAACCACCACUAACAAAGGUGCGAGAGUAAAAAUGCCUACAUCCAUGAGUCACAACUCGCUGCUUGUCUUGGCAGAGGCUUCCAGCUUUUUAGUAUAAAAAGGACGACUUCAUAGAGCUUUAGCGCCAGAAGUGGGAUCCAGUUCAUGUGGACAACGAGCGGUGUGACCACCUGGUUACUGUCCUACAGUUCUCUCGCUGGCGGGCUCCAGCGACCACAGGCAGGCAACGGAUUCCCGGGGUACUGAAGAACGUCUAACAACGGCAUAAAGUGGCACGGCAUUGCCUGUCACCUGUGCGAUCAGCCUUUGAUGCACUUUUUUUAUCCAGAAAAAAAGCCUGGUUUACUGAAUGGUCCGGCCAACUACAGCCACACAAAAUAAGGCAACCAGGACAGUCAAUGUACUUAACAUCUACGACGGAAUAAAACGAUGCACUAUAAAUUAACAAGCCGAAAAUCAAUUGGAUCAAAUACACACUAAUGGGUCAUCUAAUCCUGUCCACGGCGGGGCUGGUUUAGCAUACGCUAAUCAAGAACAAUACCUUUCAACGCGAAAAUUGAAGAAAAAGCCCGUUUUAAGAACUAUGCCUCUUAAAAGUGAGCAGCGCUAACUGCCAUUAUUAUGGCGUUAGGAUUCCUUGAACGAAACACUAAUGACGCAGUGAUUCGCAAGCAACGCGUUCACUUCCGUGGA